rnacentral:misc_RNA from 1 species
AAGUCGUAACAAGGUUUUCGUAGGUGAACCUGCGAAAGGAUCAUUAGUGAAACAUAAGAGUGCGCUUCAUUGCGGCUCGUUUAACUAUCCAUAACACUUGUGAAUUGGAAUUGAUAACACCCUUACCUUUUAAAGGCUUCGGUCUUGAACGGGUAUUGGUUUAUAUAUAACCCUGUUGCCUUUUGAAAAGACGGACAUGUUGAAAUUUGAAAAAUGAAAGAACAA